rnacentral:rRNA from 1 species
GAUGAACGCUGGCGGCGUGCCUAAUACAUGCAAGUCGAGCGAACGGACGAGGAGCUUGCUUCUCUGAUGUUAGCGGCGGACGGGUGAGUAACACGUGGAUAACCUACCUAUAAGACUGGGAUAACUUCGGGAAACCGGAGCUAAUACCGGAUAAUAUUUUGAACCGCAGGGUUCAACAGUGAAAGACGGUCUUGCUGUCACUUAUAGAUGGAUCCGCGCUGCAUUAGCUAGUUGGUAAGGUAACGGCUUACCAAGGCAACGAUGCGUAGCCGACCUGAGAGGGUGAUCGGCCACACUGGAACUGAGACACGGUCCAGACUCCUACGGGAGGCAGCAGUAGGGAAUCUUCCGCAAUGGGCGAAAGCCUGACGGAGCAACGCCGCGUGAGUGAUGAAGGUCUUCGGAUCGUAAAACUCUGUUAUUAGGGAAGAACAUAUGUGUAAGUAACUGUGCACAUCUUGACGGUACCUAAUCAGAAAGCCACGGCUAACUACGUG